GGAAUGUUGGACAAAAGGAGUAACCCUGAUCCACCCAGCCGCGUGAUGGAUGAACGCCCUAGGUUAAUAAAUUCUAUCGCCUGGAAAUGAAUGGCGGUAACAAGUAUAGAAACACCGAGUAACUCCGUGCCAGCAACUGCUGUAAUUCGGAGGGGGUGAGCGUUGUUCGGAAUUCCUGGGCGUAAAGCGCACAUAGGCGGAUCGGAAAGUUGGGUGGGAAAUACCUGGGCUCAACCCCGAAACUGCAUCCAUAAGUAUCGUUAUAGAUUUUGAGAGAGGUGAGAGGAGGGUGGAGAGUAGAGGUGAAAUUGGUAAAUAUUCGGAGGAACACCAGAGGAGAAGGCGGCUCACUGGCUCGAUACUGUCGUUGAGGUGCGAAAGGGGGGGGAGCAAACAGGAUUAGAUACUAUGGUAGUCCGCUCCGUAAACGAUGAAUGCCAGUCGUCGGGUAGCAUGGUAUUCGGUGCCACACCUAACGGAUUAAGCAUUCCUCCUGGGGAGUACGGGCGCAAGUUUUAAACUCAAA
rnacentral:rRNA from 1 species